rnacentral:lncRNA from 1 species
AACAUUUAUUCAGACCCAGAGAGUGAUCCUAGUUUUUUUUUUUUUCUCCCAAGUGUUGGAUGUCUUUUGACCCAAUAUGAAAGGAGGUCCCAGAACAACAGGGCUAGGUCAUAACGAAGACCAUUGGAAAAGGUGGAUCAUGAGCUCCUGGGCAUGGCAUAGAACAAAGGGGAAUACUACCCACCAUGGACAGGCAAGCUAGAUGUGCCACUGUCAGAGAGAGAGAGAGAGAGAGAUCACAGGUAGGGGGAGCAGGAGAGAGAGAAGCAUGCUCCCCGCCAAGCAGAGAGCCCAUUGGAUCAGGCUGUUCGAGAGGUAAUGGAAGAGGGACUACGACGCCUAUUAAACCCCGGUCCUUACACAGUGAGUGGGAGUUGGGGUGGUUGGAGCGGGGGUGCGGAAGGAGGCC